AACUUCAAGUUAAUAUUCAUUCUAUCUUCAUUAGUUAAUCCAGGUAGCAAGGACACCUGGUCAAAAACAAACUCCCUUUUUCCCUCCCCUCAAAAAACCACAAGGGACCUAAACCCCGAUGGCCAGGCUGUAUCUGUACCUGUGCUAAGGACCCACAUGUAGGAUUGUCUUCUCCACCAGCCCCAUGUUAACUUUGGGACCAUUUAUUGUAAGUCAGUGUUUCCAGAGGUGAUUUUUAAAGUUCUGGUAAGAAAAUUUAGUAAAUCCCUUCCAUUUAUUUAUAAAUAGGAUGCUUUCUGUUUAUCCUUCCACUCAGUGUUCUUUUCUGAAAGAAUAAGGGAUCAGUUUAGCUCUCAUACUCUAGUCCCCCAAAAACUCACUGCAGAGAAAUGAUUGCUUCAUGGAGAUUACAUCCCACUGUUCCGAGAAUGCACAGCUAAGUCUCUACAUUCCAUUAUAAAGUGGAUGUCUUGUGCCUUCCUUUCAGAAGAAAAUUGAAGCAUUAAAAGGUUAAAAUGACUUCUGGAUUCCAUAGACAAAAACCAAUUAUGAAAUAGAAUCCAAGAUUUCUAGGUCACAUUAAUGAACAGACCUACUUUAUUCCCAGCUUCUACUCUGGCGUUUCAUGAUGAUUUGCCUGUAAUGAGCUAUGAGCUACUUACACUUUGUCUUCUGCAAAAACAGGCAACAUAGGUGGGCUGCCCUCACCCAUCAGGCGACAGAUGAGCUCAUCCAACAGCCGAGAGGGAAUGCCCAUUUCUGAGCCGGCAGUAAGUUGCACAUGCAGCCCAGCCCAUAGGCUCUGUCACUCACCGGGUGUCACAAAGGAGCGGGUUUGUGUGCUUUUCUCUCUCAGCAUAUCUUAGAAACAUUUCGCUCGGUGCACUAAAUAUGAAACUGCCAUCCACGUGGAGAAUGGGGUUGCUUAUUAAACCUGCCUAACAUUCCUGUUACAUCAGUAGCUUCGAAUCAUAGAGGGGUAGGAGCAGGACUCCAGCAGGAAACUAGAGGUCAGCAAAAAAGCAAGCAGCCCAGACAUCACAGCACUUGAGAUGGAAACAUGUCAUGGACUCCUGUAAGGAGAAGGAUUGUCUUUGAUAACUCAUUUCUUUGUGUACUUGAACCCUAUGGGGUCCUCUGAGUCCUGCUUUCCUCAGUACCUGCAUUAACUACAAUAGUCUCUGAAGUCCUAGGAUUGUGGUUGCUUACCAGUAUGAAGUUGAGCUUCCUUAAGUCUUGAGAGAAAACAUUCCUCUGACAGGAAGAGACUGUCUCCACUCAUUCCAUUGGAAUGACCAACCCCAACCAAGUCUUCAUGUCCAGCGGCUUGGAAGAAACAAGCACCACUUGGUUCAUCUGAUGACCCUGGAUCCCAAGCCAGUUGGGAAGGGAAUAUGCCCUAAAAGCUGCAUAGCAUUCAAUUUGCUGAACUCUCGGGGGAUCUCUGCCCCAUCUUAGGCAUUCUUUUCCAACACCCACUCCCACAGGUGAACUCCUGAGAGACUGAGGGAUAGUGGGUACGACACACUUCUGAGGGGAUCAGACAAAUUUCUCCACAAACCGUUCCCAGAUGGCAACGUCCCUAGGAAACCAUCAACCAGACCACAGCCACCUCUUGACCACACCACAUUCCAACAACCCGCUCAGUUCCUGAGCUGUGUGUGGUGCACUGGGUGGGUUUUGUCCGUCAGUGGCCAGAAGCAGUGAAGGUGAAACUCCUCAUCCUGCCGAGACCCCACAGCCACACUGCCGCCCUCGCAGGUUGAGAUGACAGCACAGGGUACCAGCUCUGCUAACCCAUCCAUCUCAGCUCUUAGAGUUGUAUUUUUCAUGGUGUGGGUCUCUUGAGAUUGUGCUUGAAAAAUGUGAAUAAUCAUUCUGGAAUAAAGAACUAAUAAGCUUGUAUUCAAAAACAUAACUUGUAAACAACAGCCAGAUUGGUACAGCCAAGAGACUUUUUUCUUUUCUCAGAACACUGUAGAGAUACGGCUCAAAAUAAUUUAAUUAGCUAGAGUCCUCUAUCGACAUGGCACAACACAAGAGAGCAUGGCUAUACAGUGUUGUACCCCAAAAUAAAGGUAAAAAUUAUACCAACAACCCAACUCCAUAACAACAGUGAAUUCUGCAAGCCACAGAGAUAAAGUACACUCUUGUGACAUCAUAAUUCCCUCUUCUUCAACCCUUUGUGGGAAGAAGGUUUGGUCCCAGUUAAGAGGUAGGGAAAAUCCAGGUAGAUGAUCAUAAGUGACUUUGCUCAAAUCCAGGCAGGGUUGAAAGAGCAACCAGGAGCAAAUCUCAGAGCAGCCAAACCACAGCUCCUCAUGGAAAGGCCUCCUGUGAGCUUCAUAAGUGACAGAACAAGUACUGACUCCUGGUGAGUGGAAGCCAGUACCUGGCAUGGAAACCUGCCCUUCCAGGAAAACAGAGACUGCACCAAAACCCAGGGCAGGGCUGCGCACUGUCCAAGACAGCUGCUUUCAGCUCCCUUUAUCCUUGUGGUCAGUCUCCCAUGAGGGAUACGAUGCUCCAAACAUCGUGUUUGUCUUGUCCAGACCCCUGCCCUUGCAUAUCAGGUCAUCUGAAAGGCAAACUCUCCAGUUCAGCUGACUUUUCAUCAUGGAACGUGAGCUGUCAGCAAGAAAGACCUGCCUGGACUUGGGGGGAAUGACACAGAGGACAGAAGGGCCAGCAACAGAGUGCUUGGAAAGGGGUCCAGUCAAAGAGGAGAACUAGAAAGGACAGUAUCCUCAGAAUUUCCCACACCAGCCAUCCUCUUAAAAGAAGGAGAGAGUUGAUCUCUGACCUUCCCACAUGAGCAGAGCAGAUGGCUUGCAUGAGAGAGGGGCCCGACCCAAACCAUCCUGCGCAGAGGUCUCCCGUCAGGUCUCCUUAUGCUGUGAAGUGUUCCAGGCUCCCUCCUCCCCACAGAAGUGGUAAAAGUGCUCUGCGAUGGGCCUGGCCGCCCAAAUGCCCCAGCCUCCCUCAGCGCUGGUGCAUGCCUGGCCACCUCCACCGGGAGGUCCUCCAUGUUGUUUGGACCGAGUUAGCCCUAUGGAUAGGGGCAAACCAGCAGGAUUUGGGCAUCAACCCAUUUUUCUUGUAAUAGAUUUCAAUUUUAUUAAAAAACUUCUAAAGUAUUUAUCUCCUUAACAAACAGUGCUACACACACAAUCUGCCUGUGUGUGGGUGCCUUUGGAGGAGAGUUCUCGCUGAAACCAAGCUUGAGUGGAAAGCCCUCGGGAAAGGCCGGGUCACCAGUACUUGCGUCAAGUAGUGAUCAUACUCCACGAACCAUGUGGAAAGGAUUUCAGAUCAAUGGGAAUAGCAGAAUGGUAACCUCGCACACCGAUGAAGGGAAACAGGCUUCCUUAACUUCAGUAUGCUAACAUGCUGUGUGCCUAGUGACCACCGAGGGGAAGGAAUGCAGCGCCGUGUUUUCCAAACUUCUCUGCCCUUGGAAUCCUAUGCUAACGGAGCAGCGUAUCAGACCAAUGGCCCAGGGAAUAAAUAGGCUUUGUGAAACUGGACUGUUGCUCUCCAAACUCUUCCCAACUUCAGAAUUCUGUGCAUCUGUGAACUUCAUGGAAAACCUAAGGCAGAUUUCUUUCCUCCCUCUUCUGCUAGAAUAAAAGAUCGACUUUGCUUCUGCUCAAGUAGAUAAGAGAGACCAGACCCUGGCUUGAGUCUGAAGCAUGUUCGCUGAACUGUAAAGGUGUCAGGUUGUGUGAUUUUGUUUUUACAGUGUACUUUCUCCCAAAGCCAAACUGAUUGAAACAGAAAUGAACUCUUGUCCACCACAGCCAACCAAAAUGCAAACGUUUGGCUAGUUCAAUAUGUAUUUCUAAUUUAUGUGAAUAUAAUCUUCUUUAAACAGCAGACUGGGGACGCCAGACUCAUUCCGACCUAGCUCAUUUUCUGUUCCUAAUUAAUACUUUGAGGUUUUGCCUCCCAUUUAAUUCGGGAUCCUAGACAUCUUUCCCUCAAUUUAGAGAGGAGAACCAUUGAAAGUCAAGCAGGCAUUCAUCUGAGUUGAAGCCUAAGGAUUGCGCUGAGCACCAUGCUGAGGUCUGUGCCCUCCAGGGGUUAGGAGUUCAUAUACAGGAAUGUGGUCAUAUAUGAAGCUCCACGUGGCCGGGUAGCUCUCUUCUGAGCUCUUGAAAAAAAAAAUUGUCAUUUCAGUUGCCAAAAAUAGAGAUCCAAGGUUUGAGAAUAUUCAUCUGAUUUAAAAGUCAGAUAGCAAAUAACGUCCCCUGGGAGCCCCUCAAAGCUGGCAGCCACCAAGGGACUCCUGAAUGUAAGGGGGACCCGGCUUCACUGUGUUUUCCUGGGAGGCUCCCAAGGCCCUGGUGAGGGCCUCCCUGGGGAUACCUGGUGGUGAGGGCCCCAAAAAGUGCCACUGGAGAGAUGCUGACAUCUGUACAUUGGUUCCAGGGAGACAGCCCAGGGACCAGGGUUACCUGAAGAUGAUCCGGAGGUUCUUUCUUCACCUGUGUGGAAAUAAAGACCCAACCCUACAAGGACAAGCGAAGGCUACUUACUCAGUGCUUGCUAUAGCAUCACAUGCGUUUGAGUAGAGACUCGGAAGCAGGCAAGGUGGGAAGGCUUCUCAGGGAAAGAAGGAAUGGCUCAGGUGGGUGUUGACGGAGGCUGUUGGUCAGGAAGCUAGAGCAAGCUGCCCAGGAGCAGGGCUUCCAUGUGGUUGCUUAGCAGUGCGUAGCUGACUCUGCUGGGCUGCUCCUAAAUUAGAAGCAGGGACAAAAAUUAGAAGUGGUGUUAUUAAUCAAGUCCUGACGAUUUGGGGCCAAUUUUUACAGAGUUGUUUGUGUGACUUCCUGAGUCGUUGCUGGAGAGAGCAACCUGACUUCGACCAAGCUGGCUUUCUACAAUGAUUCCUGUAGAUUGUACAUCAGUUUUUAGCGAUGGUCUGGCCAUUGUCCAUUUAUAUAUUCAGUCCCUCAGUUUAAAGAAGCAAAUUUCUAAUUUUCUUGAAUUUUAUCCUCAUCAGAACCUACCCCUACUGAACAACACAUUAAUCGACAUUAGUAACAUUGUCUCACCACUGCAUAAUUCUACUUUUAAAUACACCAGGAGUAACAAAUGCUGCCCAGAGUCAUGCAUCUUGCCCCUGUUUCUAAUUUGAAUUCACAAACAUGGAAAAGGCGCAGUGAACUAUGUGCCUUUCAGAAACAAUAGUAAUGGGGAAAACACGGGAGCCACUAGAGGUGAUGUAAGAAAGAUGAUGAAGAAAUAGAAACGCUAUUCUAGCUACAUUACCAUUUUAUUGCAAACCCCAUUUUAGUUUUGCCGCCUGAGUUCACUCCCAAGGAACACAAAAACUGCCUACAAUGCUCACAGUGAACUCUUGAAAGCUUCCAAAAUUUCUGUGGCAGAAAUGGAACAAUGAAUCUCUUUACUGAUAGAGAUUAGUCCAGGGAAAUCCUGUUCACCCCAUAACAAGGCUGUGCUGUUACCAAGCCACUUGCUUUUGAAAUCUUUAAAUAAGAAUUUUCCCACCUCUAUAGAGUAGUAGCAUCUUGAGGAAGAAAACGGAUUCUGAAUCCCACUGGAGGAGGGAGAGAUGGAGGCAACUCUGAGAGAGCGUGGCAGCACGUUACUAUUAAAGGUGCCCUGUUUCCAGAAAUUCAUAGAGCAUCUAAUCCUCUACUGAUCCAGUCACUGGACCUGCAAGCAUCUCAGUAGAAGCUGUGUAAAACGUAAAUGGCAGCUUUUUCAGAACUCUUGACUUCCGUGGGCUCCCAUUUAAGUAAUCCAGCCUGCCCAUGUACUUGCUGCUGGGUAAACAUAAUUAUCUCUACCUCUGCCUAAGCAGUGAGCCUGUUGUUGGGCUAUUGUCUCCUGAACCCUACUGUUUUGAUGAGAAUGGUACUUUCAGCUAAGGGUUGAAUGCAAUGGCAUCCUGGCAAAAUGUUUAGCAACCAGCUCUCCAGAAACAAAACUCUGAAUGCAUGAAUAUACAUGUUAAGCAUAUAAAUUGUAAUAAAUUUUAAAUGGUAAAUGGCAUAAAAGGUGUGUGACACAAUUACAAAUAAUAAAAUAAGCAAUACUCUUCAUUAUGAUUCCAUGUAGCCAGUUGAUUCUCACAGAAUGCUUUUGUUGAUUUUUGCCAAAUGCUUGCAUCCAUAGCCGAAUCUACAGGUGCAGUUGGCAAACAGGCGUAGUUCUGACAUAAACGUUGGGUGAUACUUUCAUUUACAUUUAUGAGCAAGACAGAAGUGAAACAACAAAAGAUGCAUGUCCAGUGAAGUGUCAGAACCUUGACUUAUCAUUGGAGACAUGAGCAAUUCCUUUGCUAAAUUGAAUAAUAGUUUUCAAAUAUUUGAAGAAAAUUUCCUCAAUUUUUUAUGCUAUUCACAAUGUAAUGCCAAUGGACACAACACACUUUUCAAUUUAAACUGAGUUAUUAACAUUGUCUCCAUCACUUUCUAAGUCUAGAGCUUGAAACAAUAAAACAAAAU